rnacentral:lncRNA from 1 species
AUGAACGGAAUUGUUUGCCCAACAGACCGGUGCAACGCUCUCCGGGACAGUGUAAGGCCUUUUUGUCUAAAAAAAUUCAUUGUAGUGCUUUCAGGUGUCAUAAAUUUGUUCCUGUUUUGCCACCUCCUCCGCCACUUUCACCGCCCUUGCCUGCCCCUCCGCCACCUGUUUAUUCGCCUCCGCCACCAGUUUAUACUCCUCCUUCUCCUUCCCCACCACCUCCUCCACCUCCAGUUUAUUCACCACCGCCACCACCACCCUCUCCACCUCCUCCAUCACCUCCCCCGCCUCCACCACCAGUCUAUUCACCUCCACCCCCACCUCCAUCUCCUCCUCCACCAUCACCUCCACCACCACCCCCGCCAUCUCCACCUCCACCACCAGUUUAUUCAUCACCACCACCGCCACCAUCUCCCCCUCCACCAUCACCUCCACCUCCUCCCCCACCCGUUUAUUCGCCACCACCAUCUCCACCUCCUCCAUCACCAUUGCCUUAUUGUAUACGCUCACCUCCACCACCAAAUUCCCCACCUCCUAAUUCUCCACCUCCACCGCUUGCUCACUCGCCUCCACCCCCUUCACCUUACUAUUACAAUUCACCACCACCUCCGCCCCCAAAUUCGCCUCCUCCUCCACCAGUAUACAUAUACUCAUCACCUCCGCCACCAAAUUCACCUCCUCCUCCACCGCCAACAUACGUAUAUUCUUCACCUCCUCCACCUCCUUCCCCAUUGCCUUGUAUAGAACCCCCUCCACCACCUCCUCCUUGCAUUGAACCACCCCCACCCCCCUCCCCUUCACCAUCUCCUCCUCCACCACCGGUUUAUCAUUACAAUUCUCCGCCCCCACCAUCUCCAUCACCUCCACCACCAGUUUAUUAUCAUUACAAUUCUCCGCCCCCACCAUCUCCAUCACCUCCACCACCAGUUUAUUAUUACAAUUCUCCACCACCACCAUCACCACCGCCUACUCCAGUAUACGAAGGGCCAUUACCACCAGUAAUAGGAGUUCAAUAUGCUUCACCACCUCCACCACCCUUUUAUUAAUUCUUUCAGAAAUUUCACUAACUCUUAUCCUCAGAGCACAAAAUAGUUCCUACAAUUAUUAUUUC